rnacentral:rRNA from 1 species
CCUACGGGUGGCAGCAGUGAGGAAUAUUGGUCAAUGGCCGUAAGCCUGAACCAGCCAAGUAGCGUGCGGGAUGACUGCCCUAUGGGUUGUAAACUUCUUUUAUGCGGGAAUAACGCUGCUUACGUGUAGAUCUUUGCAGGUACCGUAUGAAUAAGGACCGGCUAAUUCCGUGCCAGCAGCCGCGGUAAUACGGAAGGUCCGGGCGUUAUCCGGAUUUAUUGGGUUUAAAGGGAGCGUAGGCCGGAUGUCAAGCUUGCUGUGAAAUUUUCGGGCUCAACCCUGGCCGUGCGGCGCGAACUGGAGAGCUUGAGUGCGCGGAAGGCAGGCGGAAUUCGUGGUGUAGCGGUGAAAUGCUUAGAUAUGACGAAGAACCCCGAUUGCGAAGGCAGCCUGCUGCAGCGUAACUGACGCUGAUGCUCGAAAGCGCGGGUAUCGAACAGGAUUAGAUACCCGAGUAGUC